UACAGAGGGAGCAAGCGUUGUUCGGAAUUAUUGGGCGUAAAGCGCGUGUAGGCGGCUUUGCAAGUCGGGUGUGAAAGCCCUCAGCUUAACUGAGGAAGUGCGCCCGAAACUGCAGAGCUUGAGUACCGGAGAGGAUGGCGGAAUUCCCCAAGUAGAGGUGAAAUUCGUAGAUAUGGGGAGGAACACCGGUGGCGAAGGCGGCCAUCUGGACGGAUACUGACGCUGAGACGCGAAAGCGUGGGUAGCAAACAGG
rnacentral:rRNA from 1 species